rnacentral:rRNA from 1 species
GCUUACGGCCAUACCACCCUGAGCGCGCCCGAUCUCGUCUGAUCUCGGAAGCUAAGCAGGGUCGGGCCUGGUUAGUACUUGGAUGGGAGACCGCCUGGGAUUACCAGGUGCUGUAAGCUUUA